rnacentral:rRNA from 1 species
UGCGUAGGGGGCAAGCGUUGUCCGGAUUUAUUGGGCGUAAAGAGCGUGUAGGCGGCCAUGCAGGUCCGUUGUGAAAACUCGAGGCUCAACCUCGAGACGCCGGUGGAAACCGCAUGGCUAGAGUCCGGAAGAGGAGAGUGGAAUUCCUGGUGUAGCGGUGAAAUGCGCAGAUAUCAGGAAGAACACCCGUGGCGAAGGCGGCUCUCUGGGACGUGACUGACGCUGAGGAGCGAAAGCAUGGGGAGCGAACAGG